rnacentral:lncRNA from 1 species
AUGAGACUUUUUUUUGUUUUUGCCUCGCUGGCUCAGGCUAAAAAAGCACCAAAACCAGUAGGCUCCCGCCGCCGUGAUUCCCAGGAAACCGAGCUCGUUACACCGGGACUCAGACGUCCCAAGCUAAGCUGCGGUUUUGGCCGUAAACUGAUACAUCGGGAAGGAGAACGGGGCCUCGACACCCCGAGGGAUGCGGGCAGCCAGAGGCGCCUGGCCAGAAGCUCUGUUUAUUCCCUGCCUCUCCGGCCUCGGAAAGCCCCGGGUGCAAGCCGGCCGCCACCUGGCACGGCUUCUCACGGGCCAGCGAGCGCCACGCAUGAAAAGCAGGAGCUGCUCCAAGGACGUCUUCAGGGCGCUACGGAAGUCCCCUCGGCCGGCGUCGGAGCCGGUUUCCCAAGCGAUGCCCGGGGGCGUCCGCUAGGGCGGCCGGAUGGGGGGGGAAAACGCGUCCUCCCGGGGGUGUCCCAGCGUGGGGCGGGCGGAGGGUGGUUACGGGGGCGCCCGUGCCCGGGAGCAGCAAGGCGAGAUGAAGACUUGGGCACCUUGGGUGGAGAGGCCAAACCGUUGGGCUCCCCCCGGCCUCGUCUCACAACCUGCGGCGUUAGGGAGUUUGGGGAGAGGCGGGAGGUUUCACGGAAGCCCUUUAGCUUCUUCUGUGGUGCCAGCAGCGAGGGGCACGGCCACCACGGGCCACCACGCUGGAAGAGGAGAGCUGGCUGCAGGAGCUUCGAGGGUCUUUUGGAAAUGCAGUGCAGAGGCCACCGCCGAAGCGCGGGUGCAAAGCUCGGGCUAGACCAGCAGCGGCCCCACGGCGAGGGGCAGCGCGGCCAAGCGUCACGACAGCGAUACCCCAAAUCCUCAGCAAUGGCACGUCUCAAACGUACGUGUUCUAACAGUUUUGACCUCAGCAGAGCGGUCACCGAACGGCAGCGCCCGCAGCCAUCACCUGCCUUUGCCUGGAGAACUAGCUGGAAAACAAAACUGCGGGUAGCCAAAGGCUUUGCAGGCGGGAUGCGUGGUUGGGAGGCGUUGUUGGGAUGA